AGAUUGAACGCUGGCGGCGUGCUUAACACAUGCAAGUCGAGCGGUAACAGGUGUAGCAAUACAUGCUGACGAGCGGCGAACGGGUGAGUAAUGCUUCGGAAUCUACCUAGUAGUGGGGAACAACUAACCGAAAGGUUAGCUAAUGCCGCAUACGACCUAUGGGUGAAAGCGGGGGAUCGCAAGACCUCGCGCUAUUAGAUGAGCCGAAGUCGGAUUAGCUAGUUGGUAGGGUAACGGCCUACCAAGGCGACGAUCCGUAGCUGGUCUGAGAGGACGACCAGCCACAUUGGGACUGAGACACGGCCCAAACUCCUACGGGAGGCAGCAGUGGGGAAUAUUGGACAAUGGGCGCAAGCCUGAUCCAGCCAUGCCGCGUGAGUGAUGAAGGCCCUAGGGUUGUAAAGCUCUUUUGUGCGGGAAGAUAAUGACGGUACCGCAAGAAUAAGCCCCGGCUAACUUCGUGCCAGCAGCCGCGGUAA
rnacentral:rRNA from 1 species